UUUAAAGAGAGUUUGAUCCUGGCUCAGGAUGAACGCUGGCGAGAUGCCUUACACAUGCAAGUCGUACGAGAAUUUUUAAUUCAAGUGGCGGACGGGUGAGUAACACGUAAGAAUUUGCCUUUAGGAGGGGGACAACAACUGGAAACGGUUGCUAAUACCCCAUAUGCUUUCGAGUGAAAUGGAUUUUUCCGCCUAAAGAGAAGCUUGCGGCUGAUUAGCU
rnacentral:rRNA from 1 species